UUGAACUAAGUAGGGUCGGAG
rnacentral:miRNA from 1 species